ACAGUGGACGCGAGCAUCUGUGGCCAAGUUUUUAAGGGCGCACGGUGGAUGCCUUGGCACCAGGAACCGAUGAAGGACGUGGGAGGCCACGAUAGGCCCCGGGGAGUCGUCAACCAGGCUUUGAUCCGGGGGUGUCCGAAUGGGGAAACCCGGCAGUCGUCAUGGGCUGUCACCCUUGCCUGAACACAUAGGGCAAGUGGAGGGAACGCGGGGAAGUGAAACAUCUCAGUACCCGCAGGAAGAGAAAACAACCGUGAUUCCGGGAGUAGUGGCGAGCGAAACCGGAUGAGGCCAAACCGUAUACGUGUGAGACCCGGCAGGGGUUGCGUGUACGGGGUUGUGGGAUCUCUCUUUCACAGUCUGCCGGCUGUGAGGCGAGUCAGAAACCGUUGAUGUAGGCGAAGGACAUGCGAAAGGUCCGGCGUAGAGGGUAAGACCCCCGUAGCUGAAACAUUGACGGCUCGUUUGAGAGACACCCAAGUAGCACGGGGCCCGAGAAAUCCCGUGUGAAUCUGGCGGGACCACCCGCUAAGCCUAAAUAUUCCCUGGUGACCGAUAGCGGAUAGUACCGUGAGGGAAUGGUGAAAAGUACCGCGGGAGCGGAGUGAAAUAGUACCUGAAACCGUGUGCCUACAAGCCGUGGGAGCGUCGCGCGUCGAGUUUACUCGAUGCGUCGUGACUGCGUGCCUUUUGAAGAAUGAGCCUGCGAGUUUGCGGUGUGUUGCGAGGUUAACCCGAGUGGGGUAGCCGUAGCGAAAGCGAGUCCGAACAGGGCGUUUUAGUAGCACGCUCAAGACCCGAAGCGGAGUGAUCUAGCCAUGGGCAGGUUGAAGCGGAGGUAAGACUUCGUGGAGGACCGAACCCACCAGGGUUGAAAACCUGGGGGAUGACCUGUGGUUAGGGGUGAAAGGCCAAUCAAACUCCGUGAUAGCUGGUUCUCCCCGAAAUGCAUUUAGGUGCAGCGUCGUGUGUUUCUUGCCGGAGGUAGAGCACUGGAUAGGCGAUGGGCCCUACCGGGUUACUGACCUUAGCCAAACUCCGAAUGCCGGUAAGUGAGAGCGCGGCAGUGAGACUGUGGGGGAUAAGCUCCAUGGUCGAGAGGGAAACAGCCCAGAGCAUCGACUAAGGCCCCUAAGCGUACGCUAAGUGGGAAAGGAUGUGGAGUCGCACAGACAACCAGGAGGUUGGCUUAGAAGCAGCCACCCUUGAAAGAGUGCGUAAUAGCUCACUGGUCUAGUGAUUCCGCGCCGACAAUGUAGCGGGGCUCAAGCGUACCGCCGAAGUCGUGUCAUUUCAGCAAUAGGGCCAACGCCCGCUGGGAUGGGUAGGGGAGCGUCGUGUGCCGGGUGAAGCAGCCGCGGAAGCGAGUUGUGGACGGUUCACGAGUGAGAAUGCAGGCAUGAGUAGCGAUACAAACGUGAGAAACGUUUGCGCCGAUUGACUAAGGGUUCCUGGGUCAAGCUGAUCUGCCCAGGGUAAGUCGGGACCUAAGGCGAGGCCGACAGGCGUAGUCGAUGGAUAACCGGUUGAUAUUCCGGUACCCGCUGUGAAGCGUCAAACAUUGAACCAGGCGAUGCUAAGUCCGUGAAGCCGUUCCGGACCCUUCGGGGAAAGGAAAGUGGUGGAGCCGACGGACCAGACUUGCAGUAGGUGAGUGAUGGGGUGACGCAGGAAGGUAGUCCAUCCCGGGCGGUGGUUGUCCCGGGGUAAGGGUGUAGGCCGAGUGGUAGGUAAAUCCGCCGCUCUUCAAGGCUGAGACCUGAUGCCGAGCCGAUUGUGGUGAAGUGGAUGAUCCUAUGCUGUCGAGAAAAGCCUCUAGCGAGUUUCAUGGCGGCCCGUACCCUAAACCGACUCAGGUGGUCAGGUAGAGAAUACCGAGGCGUUCGGGUGAACUAUGGUUAAGGAACUCGGCAAAAUGCCCCCGUAACUUCGGGAGAAGGGGGGCCAUCACUGGUGAG
rnacentral:rRNA from 1 species